rnacentral:rRNA from 3 species
ACGCAGGCGGUCUGUCAAGUCGGAUGUGAAAUCCCCGGGCUCAACCUGGGAACUGCAUUCGAAACUGGCAGGCUAGAGUCUUGUAGAGGGGGGUAGAAUUCCAGGUGUAGCGGUGAAAUGCGUAGAGAUCUGGAGGAAUACCGGUGGCGAAGGCGGCCCCCUGGACAAAGACUGACGCUCAGGUGCGAAAGCGUGGGGAGCAAACAGGAUUAGAUACCCUGGUAGUCCACGCCGUAAACGAUGUCGAUUUGGAGGUUGUGCCCUUGAGGCGUGGCUUCCGGAGCUAACGCGUUAAAUCGACCGCCUGGGGAGUACGGCCGCAAGGUUAAAACUCAAAUGAAUUGACGGGGGCCCGCACAAGCGGUGGAGCAUGUGGUUUAAUUCGAUGCAACGCGAAGAACCUUACCUG